AACGUAGGGGACAAGCGUUAUCCGGAUUUACUGGGCGUAAAGCGCCCGUAGGCGGCUAAGUAAGUUGGACGUGAAAGCUCCCGGCUUAACUGGGAGAGGCCGUUCAAAACUGUUUAGCUAGAGUGAGGCAGAGGAGCGUGGAAUUCCCGGUGUAGUGGUGGAAUGCGUAGAGAUCGGGAGGAACACCAGUGGCGAAAGCGGCGCUCUGGGCCUAAACUGACGCUGAGGGGCGAAAGCGUGGGGAGCGAACGGGAUUAGAAACCCCAGUAGUCC
rnacentral:rRNA from 1 species